rnacentral:rRNA from 1 species
AUUGAACGCUGGCGGCAGGCCUAACACAUGCAAGUCGAACGGUAACAGGAAGAAGCUUGCUUCUUUGCUGACGAGUGGCGGACGGGUGAGUAUUGUCUGGGAAACUGCCUGAUGGAGGGGGAUAACUACUGGAAACGGUAGCUAAUACCGCAUAACGUCGCAAGACCAAAGAGGGGGACCUUCGGGCCUCUUGCCAUCGGAUGUGCCCAGAUGGGAUUAGCUAGUAGGUGGGGUAACGGCUCACCUAGGCGACGAUCCCUAGCUGGUCUGAGAGGAUGACCAGCCACACUGGAACUGAGACACGGUCCAGACUCCUACGGGAGGCAGCAGUGGGGAAUAUUGCACAAUGGGCGCAAGCCUGAUGCAGCCAUGCCGCGUGUAUGAAGAAGGCCUUCGGGUUGUAAAGUACUUUCAGCGGGGAGGAAGGGAGUAAAGUUAAUACCUUUGCUCAUUGACGUUACCCGCAGAAGAAGCACCGGCUAACUCCGUG